UAAUACGAAGGGGGCGAGCGUUGUUCGGAAUUACUGGGCGUAAAGGGCGCGUAGGCGGUGCACCAAGUCAGGCGUGAAAGCCCCGGGCUCAACCUGGGAACGGCGCUUGAGACUGGUGCGCUCGAGUUCGGGAGAGGAUGGUGGAAUUCCCAGUGUAGAGGUGAAAUUCGUAGAUAUUGGGAAGAACACCGAUGGCGAAGGCAGCCGUCUGGACCGACACUGACGCUGAGGCGCGAAAGCGUGGGGAGCAAACAGGAUUAGAUACCCUGGUAGUCCACGCCGUAAACGAUGAGUGCUAGACGUCGGGGCCCUUGGGGCUUCGGUGUCGCAGCCAACGCAUUAAGCACUCCGCCUGGGGAGUACGGCCGCAAGGUUA
rnacentral:rRNA from 1 species